GCCCAGGCAGCUCAGUCGGCAGAGCGCGAGAUAUAAUUUCGGGGUCGUGGGUUCGAGCCCUACGUUGGGCG